rnacentral:rRNA from 13 species
GGAUCCUGAGUACGGCGGAACACGUGAAAUUCCGUCGGAAUCCGGGAGGACCAUCUCCCAAGGCUAAAUACUCCCUAGUGACCGAUAGUGAACCAGUACCGUGAGGGAAAGGCGAAAAGAACCCCGGAGAGGGGAGUGAAAUAGAUCCUGAAACCGUAUGCGUACAAGCAGUAGGAGCAGACUUGUUCUGUGACUGCGUACCUUUUGUAUAAUGGGUCAGCGACUUAAUGUCAGUAGCGAGCUUAACCGUUUAGGGGAGGCGUAGGGAAACCGAGUCUUAAUAGGGCGAAUUAGUUGCUGGCAUUAGACCCGAAACCCGGUGAUCUAUCCAUGGCCAGGUUGAAGAUGCCGUAACAGGCAUUGGAGGACCGAACCCACAAAUUUUGAAAAAUUUGGGGAUGAGCUGUGGAUCGGAGUGAAAGGCUAAUCAAACCGGGAGAUAGCUGGUUCUCCUCGAAAUCUAUUUAGGUAGAGCGUCAUGUCUUACCCGCGGGGGUAGAGCACUGUUUGGGCUAGGGGGUCAUCCCGACUUACCAACCCCAUGCAAACUCCGAAUACCGCGGA